AGUCACAGCAAACUUUCUGCAAGGCAGGGUCGUGUUAUGGACCAAUCAGGACCGAUCAGCGACAGUUUCAAAGCACCCAAUAAUAACUGGAGGUAAAUGCUACAUCUUUCAAAUUAGAUACAGCUAAAGAAAAGCUCUUCGAUCACAUAUUCAUUGAUACCAAGAGCUCAGCACAUCAUCUUUCAAACCGAUUGCAAUCAAAUACAACUGCAAUCAUUUCAAUUAAACACAACUAUGGGAUAUGUCUCUACUUCUCUAACCAACUCCGUAAUACUUACAAAAUCUCUUUCUCCCUCUCUGUGUUGUAUUCAUAAGGUGCAGCCAAUCAAAAUGCAUACCAUCUUCAGUGGGGCACAAGGAAUGAUUGAGAGGUGAAGCAUGUGCUUUUAAUGUUGACCAUCACAAAUUUAACUAGCCUUCAUCUCAAUAUCGCCACCAUCCUCCACCACAACGGUAUCAGAGGUAUCCGAGGGAAGAAGCCCUAGGAGUGGCAAAGGCAGCAAUGAAGUGAGAUUGCAAAGAAUAAUCAAAAAGGCUAAGUUGUCAAAGCUGUCCUUUGUAACUCCAAAAAGCUGGGUUAGACCAGCACCGAUCAGCCCUCCAAGAACACUUCCUCCAUUUGAAAUGGACAUGAGAGUCGCAAAAAGUGUUGCUUCCAUCCCUUCUGGACAUAAUUUGGCAGCUAGCACAAGAACGGGCAUAAAAGAAGCCUGAGCAAGAACAGUCAGAAUCAAAGAAUCCCCAAUCGCAAACCACUCAUCGCUUAUGCCAAAUUUACGGUUAAGUCCAGUAACAAGGAAAACCUGAGUCAUCCCAAGAGCUGUACCACUUACGGUGGUAAAAACAAAAAUCUUCCGCAAAGGAACAUUUUUCAGAAAGCCAUUAUAAAGUCCAACCCCAACCAAUGAUGCAAUUGAGGUGACAAGCUUGACACGUCCUAGAAAUUCUGGGGUGAAACCAAGUUUAUUUGUGGUGAAGUAAAACAUAGCAGAGUCUGAUUGCGGUGUUGCCUGCCAGAGAAAAAUAAAUAACGUGGGAAGAAAUACAUUGGGCUGCUUGACUGCAUCCCACAACAGAAUAAUAUGCUGCUUUGAGCUUUCCAGAAAGCCAAGAUCAUUCAAAGCAAGAUUCUGUCCUCUUGCUGGACCAAGAACGCGCUGUUCUUUCACAAGAACAGCAACUGCCGAAGUUAUCAGCGGUAGCAAUGCCGUGACCCCAAAAACAAACCUGACACCAUAAGCAUCCACCAGAGAGCCACUGAAGUAGGAGCUGACAAUUCCACCAAAAGCUGAAGAACCCCAACAUAAAGACUGAAGAGAACCUGACAAGCUUUGUGACUCACCGCGGGCCCUCUCGACCACCAUGGAAUCCACAACAACAUCUGAGAAGGCAACAGAAAGCGAUCCAAGAAGUAUGCAGAAAGCAGCACUGUACUUGCUAUCAACCAAGGUAGCCAUUAAGCUCCACGAAAGAGCACCAAGAAGUCCUGAAAGAACCAAGUAUGACCUUCUUCGAUAACCAAAAAGUGGGACAGAAUCACUAAUAAACCCAUAAAGAGGUUUGACAAGCCAUGGUAAUGCAGAAAAACCAGAUAUCACAGCUGUCUCGGCAGGAUCUAGAUGCAAAUCAUCUUUUAAGUAGAAACUGACAGCAAGUCUAGAAAGGCCUAAAACACCUUGAACAAAAUACACCAUUGCAACAGCAAUAUUAUCCGGCGACAAUUCCACACCAAAGCAUUUGAUUCUGCUACUAAGACGUCUGUUUUUACGGACUGCAUUUUUACUACCAGAGCUUGUCCCUUCUUCCACAUCUGUUGUUAGCAUUUCACCUUUACGUCCACUAUCUACGGUAAUCAAAAGCGACUCUUCGCUUCGGUCCCGACGGUAAGACGGCAUCGUCAUGGACACGUCUUUUUCCGCCUGUUUCAGUCGUGACCUCCGGCGAGUUCUGCAGAGAGCGAUGAGAGAGAGGCGUUUCCGGUGUAUCUGAGAGAAAGGAGAAGACGGGAAACG
rnacentral:misc_RNA from 1 species